GAUGAACGCUGGCGGCGUGCUUAACACAUGCAAGUCGAACGAGAAGUGAAGACGGAAACCUUCGGGCGGAAGGCUUUAUUUCGAGUGGCGGACGGGUGAGUAACGCGUGGGUAACCUGCCUCAUACAGGGGGAUAACAGUUGGAAACGACUGUUAAUACCGCAUAAGACCACAGCACCGCAUGGUGCGGGGGUAAAAACUCCGGUGGUAUGAGAUGGACCCGCGUUCGAUUAGCCAGUUGGCGGGGUAACGGCCCACCAAAGCGACGAUCGAUAGCCGAUCUGAGAGGAUGACCGGACACAUUGGGACUGAGACACGGCCCAAACUCCUACGGGAGGCAGCAGUGGGGAAUAUUGCACAAUGGGGGAAACCCUGAUGCAGCGACGCCGCGUGAGUGAAGAAGUAUUUCGGUAUGUAAAGCUCUAUCAGCAGGGAAGAAAAUGACGGUACCUGAGGAAGAAGCCCCGGCUAACUACGUG
rnacentral:rRNA from 1 species